rnacentral:lncRNA from 1 species
CACAAUUCCUCUAAAAUAUAUGUUGUUUUUCUGCCUUUGGUGAAAUUGUGUUCAUUUAAAAAUUUCAUUAAAAAAUAAAGUUUUUAUUUUCUAAUUUUGAAGAUAAUCAUGCCCAUUGCAGGAAAUUUACAAGAAGAAAAAAUACAAAAUUAACAUUGCAUAUAAUCACAUCACCCAGAGCGAAACCAUAAUUAAUGUUUUGCCAGUUUUUCUUCACAUUUCUCCAUGUAUACAUUGUAUAUACAUUACAUGUUUUGUAUAUGUAUACUUUAUAUUACAUAUAAGCCUGAAUUUAUACUACACAUAAAAUUUUGCUUAAUAUAAAAGUAUUUUCCAUACAUUAACCCAGCCUUUAUGGCUAUUAUAUCUAAUGGUUACAUAACAUUUUAUUACUUGAUUUAUUGUAGUUAGUUCCUUCUUGUUGGGCAUUGGUGGUGUUUUCAAUUUUUUUUAGUCAGAUUAGCCUGAAGAGGAAUCUUUUCUAAAAAAUACUUAAAAGGAAAGAUUGAUUUUUGUAUUUAAUAAGUUAAUCAUUGAUAGAUUAAAUAUUUUAUAUCAGAGUUUUUCAUUUUAACUGCAUUUAGAACAACAAAUUG